GUUCCAUAGUUCAACCUGAAGAGCGGUUUGUGCGAGGAAUCCCAGUUGGCUGGCGACGAGGUGAACGUGGUGGCAACCGAGGAUUAGUACCACCCAUUGUCUUACCUGACAGUGAAAAACAACCUAACACCCGCAGUUCCAGGUUAGAAAUUGAUACUGGACCAUCUCUGGAGGAACCGCUCCCGGAACCCACCAGCAGGCUGCGUGUCAAUUCAGAUGUGAGUCGCCAGCGUGGAGGAAGCAGCCCCAUUCGCAAGUUGGCAUCACCGUUCAUGGAUGGGGGCCGUCUGCCCUUUCCCAUCCUACAAUCAACCCAGGCCAAGACCUUUCACCCU
rnacentral:lncRNA from 1 species